UAACAGUAAGCUUCCUAAUAAGAAGCCUUAAGGCAAGAAUGCCUAUCUAUCUUUAUGGUGAAAGACAAUGAGAGAUUAAGAAGAUAAAUAUAAGUUUCAACAAGCAAAAGAAGCAAGAUGAAAAAGGGUACGAGGUGCCCAGUUAAUAAAGGUUAACAGUGUUUAUAAUUUAGGCAGAGGAAUAUAAGUUUUUGAGUUAUAUUCAAAAGUAACAGAGGUAUGUACUUGGUCACACCCUCAGUUAUGUCCUGUGGGGGCUAACAUGUAUAGUAAGAGAAGGACGGGAUAUCAAGAUCCGACUGGGGUUGGGAUAACCCAAAUUGGUAAAUAGAUUGCUUGUGAUAGUUGACAUUGCCGAAGGAUAUUGCAAAUGUGCUAAUAAUAUCACUUUUGUCACGACCCAAAUAGAUGGGCGACGAUGGACACCCGGUACCUUACUCAACCGAGUACCGACGUAACGUUUCUUUCUUAUUACAUCAUCAUAUACACGUAACAUACGGGCCAAAUAGGCCAACAUGAUCAUUUAUAAACUCAAAACAUAGGCCGACAAGGCCGUAACCUUUUACGUACAUGACAUCUAUCUACAAGACUCUAAAAAUACAUAAUUUUCAUAAAGGUCAGGAUAGAGUCCCGCCAUACCAAACAAUACACAUUUAACUCAUACUAACCAAACAAGCAACUCCGAAGCAAAUGGAGCGCACCAACAUCUUCCGCUGAGCUGAUAGCCUACUUGGAGGGCUCUCGACCUGUCUAUCGGAACAUAAGGUCAUGAAACGCAGCGUCCCCAGGAAAAAAGGGACGUCAGUACGAAUAAUGUACUGAGUAUGUAAGGCACAUAAAUAAGUACAUAACAGAUAUGGAGGAAAUAUAGAGUAAAUGACUCCACCUGUAAGUAUGGAUAACUUUGUAAAUAAUGAAAUAAUUAUAGUAUCAUGCAUAUGCGUAUGAAUGUCAUGUCGUGCAUAGGUACUUGUUUCAUAACAUCAUCACCCUCGGAGGCAUCCCAUCAUAUCAUCUUGGCCACAGUGGGAAAAAUCAUCAACAUAUACCACCUGAUCAGGUGGUGGUGCAUAUAUAACACUAUAACAUUUCUCAUAUCCCAUAUACAUAUACAUACAUAUAUAUAUGUGUAUGUAACGCCAUCUGGUAACGGGUCAAUGUACAUGAAUGCAAUGCAUGAAAAGUACAUUAAUAAAAUCUUUCGAAAUGUCAUAAGACCAAUUUGCCUUUGAGUAAUAUCAUAAAGUAAACUUAUGACCCGUGAACAGAUGAAUAAAGUCAUUUAUGGACCCAUGAACAGAUGAUACAAUAUUAUGACACAUGGAAAUUCAAGAACAUAGAUAUUUCUAAUACUUCUAUGAAUAAAGUCAUUUAGGCAAUUUGUGCAUUUGCACGUUUCGUUCGUAUCGUAUGGAUCAUGCCAAAAGAAAGAAGGAAUAGCCUUAACAUACCUGAAGUAGGGAAAAUUCUGUAUAAUAUUUCGUUGGAAAACCUUCAUUGAUUGAACAAAAUUUGCCCCUGCUUCUUAGAAAUUCAUAGAAGAAUUGCUUCUGGUUUCUAAAAUUUUGGAAUGAAGGAAACGUUUUUGGUUUCCUUGAAGUUGUUGAGAGGAAAAGGUUUUCUGGUUUCUUAAGAAUUGAGAGGGAUAACAUUUCUGUUUCAUUUAAGUUUGGAAAGAAUAACAUUUUGUUUGGAUUCAUGUUACUUAUCUAUUCAUGUCUCUUAAGUUAGAGAUAUACUUUAUAUUUG
rnacentral:lncRNA from 1 species